UGCAAAGUUAAAAUAGGCAAAGG
rnacentral:piRNA from 1 species